rnacentral:rRNA from 1 species
GACGAACGCUGGCGGCGUGCCUAAUACAUGCAAGUUGAGCGCUGAAGGUUGGUACUUGUACCAACUGGAUGAGCAGCGAACGGGUGAGUAACGCGUGGGGAAUCUGCCUUUGAGCAGGGGACAACAUUUGGAAACGAAUGCUAAUACCGCAUAAAAACUUUAAACACAAGUUUUAAGUUUGAAAGAUGCAAUUGCAUCACUCAAAGAUGAUCCCGCGUUGUAUUAGCUAGUUGGUGAGGUAAAGGCUCACCAAGGCGAUGAUACAUAGCCGACCUGAGAGGGUGAUCGGCCACAUUGGGACUGAGACACGGCCCAAACUCCUACGGGAGGCAGCAGUAGGGAAUCUUCGGCAAUGGACGAAAGUCUGACCGAGCAACGCCGCGUGAGUGAAGAAGGUUGUCGGAUCGUAAAACUCUGUUGGUAGAGAAGAACGUUGGUGAGAGUGGAAAGCUCACCAAGUGACGGUAACUACCCAGAAAGGGACGGCUAACUACGUG